ACCUGGGUGGCUCAGUUGGUUGAGCGCUUGACUUCAGCUCAGGUCAUGAUCUCGCAGCUCUGUGGGUUCGAGCCCCACAUCGGGCU
rnacentral:tRNA from 1 species